rnacentral:tRNA from 1 species
ACGUGGGUAACUCAACUGGCAGAGUGCCUCCCUUACAAGAAGGAAGCUAUGGGUUCAAGUCCCUUCCCGCGUA